AUACGUAGGGGGCGAGCGUUGUCCGGAAUGAUUGGGCGUAAAGGGCGCGUAGGCGGCCCGGUAAGUCUGGAGUGAAAGUCCUGUUUUUAAGAUGGGAAUUGCUUUGGAUACUGUCGGGCUUGAGUGCAGGAGAGGUAAGUGGAAUUCCCAGUGUAGCGGUGAAAUGCGUAGAGAUUGGGAGGAACACCAGUGGCGAAGGCGACUUACUGGACUGUAACUGACGCUGAGGCGCGAAAGUGUGGGGAGCAAACAGGAUUAGAUACCCUGGUAGUCCACACUGUAAACGAUGAAUGCUAGGUGUAAGAGGUAUCGACCCCUUUUGUGCCGGAGUUAACACAAUAAGCAUUCCGCCUGGGGAGUACGGCCGCAAGGUUGGAACUCAAAUGAAUUGGCGGGG
rnacentral:rRNA from 1 species